UACCUAAAUUAAAGACAAAAGUGUUGGGACAGUUGUGAGAUCAUGCAGUGUACUGAUGGAUAAGUUAUUGUUAGUGUUUUAGUUAGUAGGUUCAGAGUUAAUAAAUUUGUUAAAUCUUUCUUUCUAAGAUUGUAUUUCUGACCACAUAUUAUAUGAUUGCAGAUAGAAAAUGGGAGGUCUCUAAGAUUGUAUUUCUCACUGUGAACUAUUGCGGUGCUUAGGAAGCUGAUCGGAAAGAUUCCCAAAGUUGUUGAGAAUUCUGAGAGUGCUUGGACCACACCAUCAGUAGUUUCCUUCAAUCAGAAAGGAAAGCUACUAGUUGGUACUCCAGCAAAACGUCAAGCAGUUACCAACCCAUCGAAGAGUCAGUUUUUCUUGGUGCUUACUUUGGACCUAUCAUUGCUUGGAAAGGAUAGUACGGAUGAAUUCUCAAUUGUGCCUCUCUCUUUUUUUUCUUGAAGAUAAUAUGUUAUGAAAUAAGAGUAUAAUUGUGCUUGAUUCUUGAUUUUUUGAUGGUGGUAGAAUGCAGCUACGAUGAUUUGACUCUUAGAAUGGAAAAGAAGUAAGGUAAAUGUGCCACAGUGGCUCCAUGUAGCGUAUCGUUUCUAAAGCAUCAC